UAGCAGCGGUGAGCUUGUAGUCCGCGGG
rnacentral:sRNA from 1 species